rnacentral:rRNA from 1 species
GAUUGAACGCUGGCGGCAGGCCUAACACAUGCAAGUCGAACGGUAACAGGAAGAAGCUUGCUUCUUUGCUGACGAGUGGCGGACGGGUGAGUAAUGUCUGGGAAACUGCCUGAUGGAGGGGGAUAACUACUGGAAACGGUAGCUAAUACCGCAUAACGUCGCAAGACCAAAGAGGGGGACCUUCGGGCCUCUUGCCAUCGGAUGUGCCCAGAUGGGAUUAGCUAGUAGGUGGGGUAACGGCUCACCUAAGCGACGAUCCCUAGCUGGUCUGAGAGGAUGACCAGCCACACUGGAACUGAGACACGGUCCAGACUCCUACGGGAGGCAGCAGUGGGGAAUAUUGCACAAUGGGCGCAAGCCUGAUGCAGACAUGCCGCGUGUAUGAACAAGGCCUUCGGGUUGUAAAGUACUUUCAGCGGGGAGGAAGGGAGUAAAGUUAAUACCUUUGCUCAUUGACGUUACCCGCAGAAGAAGCACCGGCUA